UCGAGCCUCCCUGGACUUCCGCUAGAUGGCGCGUCGCCCUCAGCCCUGGCCACCUAUCGUUCAGGUGGGACUGGAACGAAAAUUAGCUUUAAGCAAAAUCGGUCAACAACAAUUUCCACUAACUACCGAUAACUACACAUCUGCUACAUAUUAACUACAUUUUUAUGUAGUUACAAAAGCGACACCUGAAGGAGAGAUGUGUACGUUUCAAACAUUUUUGCCCGUGUUUUUUCAUAUAAUUGAAGCGCCAGUGUGAAAAACCUCCGUUAUCAACGUUUGACAAGCCUUUUUUUGGGACUUUUAUUUUUAAAUUUACAUUUUUAUUCCAAAUUAUCAGAAUUUCAAUGCUGAUCACGAAUAAGCAUUCGAUGUGUCUUGGGAAGUGGCUACAUACCGCAUUUCUAUAUUGGUCAAGAGGGUUGUGAGCUAGACAAGGUGGCAAGAAUAUAAGUGCGACAAAUUACCCUCAGGAAUAUACCGUCUGUUUUUAACAAAAAUACCGAAAAAUAUACCAUUGACACAAAA